GUCUAGGCCCUUCUUCUCCCAGGACCCAGCAGUCCUAGCUCCCUCUUGACUCUGGACCCCAAAAUCUGGACCUCCAAUGAAGCUGUCCCUUUGGGACUCCAGAAUCCAGAGAGCCCCUCGCCUUCCUUCACAGUGAAAACAUUGGGACUCACCUAAGAGAGUCAAGGAGCUUCUCCAGGAAGUGGCAAAGUCAGCAUUCAGGUCCCUGCCUGCCUCACUCCUGCUCUGAAUGCUUUGGAUGAGACAGUUUGCGGCUGUGGAAACACACGUGCUCGCAAAUCAAAGAAUUUUCCUGACACUCUCAACUGUGCAGAAGUAAAAAUCUUUCCCCAGAAGAAGUGUGAGGAUGCUUACCCGGGGCAGAUCACAGAUGGCAUGGUCUGUGCAGGCAGCAGCAAAGGGGCUGACACGUGCCAGGGCGAUUCUGGAGGCCCCCUGGUGUGUGAUGGUGCACUCCAGGGCAUCACAUCCUGGGGCUCAGACCCCUGUGGGAGGUCCGACAAACCUGGCGUCUAUACCAACAUCUGCCGCUACCUGGACUGGAUCAA
rnacentral:lncRNA from 10 species